AUCCGGGGACUUUCGAUUAAGAGAACGGAUGGGGUUCCGUGUUGACUCCAAUCUAUUCGCCUGAGGAAACUCUAAGACGAAGUGAAGGACUGAGGUGAAAUCCUAUCGCUUCUCGUGCCUGGGACUACCACGCAUCGAGCGGCGGGCGCAUUGCCGGCUUGUUCCAAGAUGUAGUAGCGGACUCAUGCUUGAUUAUACUGAAGGCCGGAAGAUANUUAACUCUGUAUGCACAUGUUGAAACCGGAAGAAAAUCUGAUGUUUCGUUAACUGUAUGGGGACGAAUGAGUGAUAGAACCAUUCAAUAGCUGGUUAUCUCUGAACUAUCUAUCAGGUUAGCUGACAUUCUGGGAAAUACAGUUUUAUCCGGUCGAGUGAAUGUGUCGAGGUAAUGGGGGAAAAACGUCCUCAACCUAUUCUCAAACUUUAGAUGAACGUGAAGCUUGACUUCCAUAAACGGAGCCGGUCCUUGAGGGUAAGUACCAAAUAGGCUAUUUUUGGUAAGUAGAACUGGGGUUGCGGGGAUUAACCGAACAUAACGCGACGCUCAUGACAUGCUACAAAAGGUGUUGGUUGGUCCGGAAUCCGCAAAGGAGUGCAAGAAAUCACCCAUAGAAUAAAACAGACCAGAAAAUGGAUGGUGCUGUAGCAUCGAACCCCAACCCGAUCGUCACCGUAAGCUGAGUUUGGUGCAGAUCCAGAUGGCAGUAGCAAUUCUUCAGAUGAGAACCUCGAAAGUCGAGGAGAAGAGUUCCAUGGGAACAGCAAUCCUCAGUGAUUAAGAGAAUCAGUAAAGAUACAGGAUACCCAACAUUGUAAGGACUGCUACCAUUUUAAUGUAGAACAGUAACCCUCCGUAGCGGGAGUCGGGUUGAUAAAUAUUUCCGAAACUUCUCACGGGGAUUAGUGGAUUUUGGUUUCGGUCAGUUUGCACCUGGCGCGGUAACGCAUCUGACCUUGAAGAUGUCAGCGACGGUUCUCCGAAGAGAUCUCCUCUUUGUUGGGAGUAUACCGUCAACUGUAGACCGGGAGUUCGGAGAUUGGUGUCUAGCUCCCAUAAGGCACCACCCUUCUUGAGUUAUCUGAAACAGUCUUAUGGACUCUUGACAUUCUGAGCGGAGCCAUAUGAUUUUGCUGGUAUGCCGUAACCAUAUUUGUAUAAUGUCUUCAAGGUGAACGGUCUCUGGCA
rnacentral:ncRNA from 1 species